AUACGUAGGGGGCGAGCGUUGUCCGGAAUGAUUGGGCGUAAAGGGCGCGUAGGCGGCCCGGUAAGUCUGGAGUGAAAGUCCUGUUUUUAAGAUGGGAAUUGCUUUGGAUACUGUCGGGCUUGAGUGCAGGAGAGGCAAGUGGAAUUCCCAGUGUAGCGGUGAAAUGCGUAGAGAUUGGGAGGAACACCAGUGGCGAAGGCGACUUACUGGACUGUAACUGACGCUGAGGCGCGAAAGUGUGGGGAGCAAACAGGAUUAGAUACCCUGGUAGUCCACACUGUAAACGAUGAAUGCUAGGUGUAGGGGGUAUCGACCCCUUCUGUGCCGCAGUCAACACAAUAAGCAUUCCGCCUGGGGAGUACGGCCGCAAGGUUGAAACUUAAAGGAAUUGACGGGG
rnacentral:rRNA from 1 species